GACGAACGCUGGCGGCGUGCUUAACACAUGCAAGUCGAACGGAAAGGCCCUGCUUUUGUGGGGUGCUCGAGUGGCGAACGGGUGUGUAACACGUGAGUAUCCUGCCCUUGACUUUGGGAUAACUUCAGGAAACUGGGGCUAAUACCGGAUAGGUGCUCCUGCUGCAUGGUGGGGGUUGGAACUUUUCGGCUGUUGGGGAUGGACUCUGGGCUUAUUAGCUUGUUGGUUGGGUAGUGGCUUACCAGGGCUUUGACGGGUAGCCGGCCUGAGAGGGUGGCCGGCGACAUGGGGACUGAGAGACGGACCAGACUGCUACGGGAGGCAGCAGUGGGGAAUAUUGCACAAUGGGCGGAAGCCUGAUGCAGCAACGCCGCGUGCGGGAUGACGGCCUUCGGGUUGUAAACCGCAGUCGCCUGUGACGAAGCGUGAGUGACGGUAAUGGGUAAAGAAGCACCGGCUAACUACGUG
rnacentral:rRNA from 1 species